UUAAGGCAAAGGGGAGGAGCCCAGAGGAGGUUAAAAUCUCCCAUGUCACCCUUGGUAUCACUUCCCUCUGUCCAGACUUCAUACCUUCUUCUCUAGAACUCUCUUCCAUCCUUGUGGUCACUGACCAACUCAGGAGAUACUGCUGAAAAGACAGGAGGCAACGAGGUCCAGAGACCGGACCGGUGGUCAGCUCAGGGACCCUUCCAACCACACUUCCCUCAAUCCCUGAAACACCUCAAGCAGCCAGCCCUUGGGCGAAGGGAUCCUAAAUCCUCCACUGCUCUGGAACUGUGUGGAGGGCGGCUUUCCCUUAUUGGGGCAGGGAUGAUGCGGUGACUAACCAGACCUACAGCUCUGAAUGAGGGCUCUGAGAAGGCUCAGGCCACUCACUGCAUCCGUGGCCCUACAAGGAGAUGGUUCCAUCGAAGACAGCACAGAAAACUUUGGAGAUUCUCCCUUGCUUUGUUCCCCCCCAUCCCCCCACCCCCCACCCCCAACACGCUGUGGAACAGGCGAAGUUGGGAGAGAAGUAGCCCUCGGUGAGGCACUCAUUCAUUCACCGGGUGGAUGGCUGCGGAGCGCGGGCCAGCCGGGCCAGGCGGCCGCCAGAAGGAAGGAAGAGUCGCCAGCAGAUCCCAGGCUCUGGCCGUGGAGUCCCGCAACUGCUCGCUGAUGGACCGCCUGAGCUGCGUUGGGAAGGGCUUCCGUUUGCUGGUCAUUUUAGAUCCGUCCUCAUAACGACC